rnacentral:rRNA from 1 species
AUACGUAGGGGGCGAGCGUUGUCCGGAAUGAUAGGGCGUAAAGGGCGCGUAGGCGGCCCGGUAAGUCUGGAGUGAAAGUCCUGUUUUUAAGAUGGGAAUUGCUUUGGAUACUGUCGGGCUUGAGUGCAGGAGAGGUAAGUGGAAUUCCCAGUGUAGCGGUGAAAUGCGUAGAGAUUGGGAGGAACACCAGUGGCGAAGGCGACUUACUGGACUAUAACUGACGUUGAGGCGCGAAAGUGUGGGGAGCAAACAGGAUUAGAUACCCUGGUAGUCCACACUGUAAACGAUGAAUGCUAGGUGUAGGGGGUAUCGACCCCUUCUGUGCCGCAGUCAACACAAUAAGCAUUCCGCCUGGGGAGUACGGCCGCAAGGUUGAAACUCAAAUGAAUUGACGGGG